rnacentral:lncRNA from 1 species
ACAUACUUCAAACUCUGGCUAACCUCCUGGUCUACCCUGUACCUGCACAUCUGGGGUUAGGGGAGAGGGGUGAGCUACAAAGCCCAGUGAGCAGAAUAGAAGAAACAAUAUAUUAAAAUUUCAUGCUUUCAUGGAAUGCAACACAUCACAACAAAUCACAUCUCGGAUGGUAUUGUCACCUAUAGUCCUCUACAUAGGUCCAACUGUGCCGGGACGUAGAAUGGGUCAACCGGUCUUUCCCUUAACAUAACAUAUCAUACAGUCCAACUGUGCCAGGGACGUAGAAUGGGUCAACCUGGACUUCCUCUUACAUCGUGCCAGGG